GAUGAACGCUGGCGGCGUGCCUAAUACAUGCAAGUCGAGCGAACGGACGAGAAGCUUGCUUUUCUGAUGUUAGCGGCGGACGGGUGAGUAACACGUGGAUAACCUACCUAUAAGACUGGGAUAACUUCGGGAAACCGGAGCUAAUACCGGAUAAUAUUUUGAACCGCAUGGUUCAAAAGUGAAAGACGGUCUUGCUGUCACUUAUAGAUGAAUCCGCGCUGCAUUAGCUAGUUGGUAAGGUAACGGCUUACCAAGGCAACGAUGCAUAGCCGACCUGAGAGGGUGAUCGGCCACACUGGAACUGAGACACGGUCCAGACUCCUACGGGAGGCAGCAGUAGGGAAUCUUCCGCAAUGGGCGAAAGCCUGACGGAGCAACGCCGCGUGAGUGAUGAAGGUCUUCGGAUCGUAAAACUCUGUUACUAGGGAAGAACAUAUGUGUAAGUAACUGUGCACAUCUUGACGGUACCUAAUCAGAAAGCCACGGCUAACUACGUG
rnacentral:rRNA from 1 species